GCGGCAUGCCUUACACAUGCAAGUCGAACGCGAAUUUGUCUUCGGACAUUAGUAGAGUGGCAAACGGGUGAGUAACGCGUGGGAAUAUACCUUAUAGUACGGAAUAGCCUCGGGAAACUGGGAUUAAUACCGCAUACGCCCUUCGGGGGAAAGAUUUAUCGCUAUAAGAUUAGCCCGCGUCAGAUUAGCUAGUUGGUGGGGUAACGGCCUACCAAGGCAACGAUCUGUAGCUGGUCUGAGAGGACGAUCAGCCACAUUGGGACUGAGACACGGCCCAAACUCCUACGGGAGGCAGCAGUGGGGAAUAUUGGACAAUGGACGCAAGUCUGAUCCAGCAAUGCCGCGUGAAUGAUGAAGGCCUUAGGGUUGUAAAGUUCUUUAAGUAGGGAAGAUAAUGACAGUACCUACAGAAUAAGCACCGGCUAACUUCGUGCCAGCAGCCGCCGUAA
rnacentral:rRNA from 1 species